rnacentral:rRNA from 1 species
AGCUUCGGCGAAGCUUCUGAUCGAAGCCCUGGUAAAAGGCGGCCGUAACUAUAACGGUCCUAAGGUAGCGAAAUUCCUUGUCGGGUAAGUUCCGACCUGCACGAAUGGCGUAACGAUGGCCACACUGUCUCCACCCGAGACUCAGUGAAAUUGAAAUCGCUGUGAAGAUGCAGUGUACCCGCGGCUAGACGGAAAGACCCCGUGAACCUUUACUACAGCUUUGCACUGAACUUUGAACCUGUUUGUGUAGGAUAGGUGGGAGACUUUGAAGCGACCGCGCUAGCGGUCGUGGAGUCAACCUUGAAAUACCACCCUGACAUGUUUGGGGUUCUAACCUAGGCCCGUGAAUCCGGGCCAGGAACAGUGUAUGGUGGGUAGUUUGACUGGGGCGGUCUCCUCCCAAAGAGUAACGGAGGAGCGCGAUGGUACCCUAAGCACGGUCGGAAAUCGUGCGUUUAGUGCAAAGGCAUAAGGGUGCUUAACUGCGAGACAGACAUGUCGAGCAGGUACGAAAGUAGGUCUUAGUGAUCCGGUGGUUCUGAAUGGAAGGGCCAUCGCUCAACGGAUAAAAGGUACUCCGGGGAUAACAGGCUGAUACUACCCAAGAGUUCAUAUCGACGGUAGUGUUUGGCACCUCGAUGUCGGCUCAUCACAUCCUGGGGCUGAAGCAGGUCCCAAGGGUAUGGCUGUUCGCCAUUUAAAGUGGUACGCGAGCUGGGUUUAGAACGUCGUGAGACAGUUCGGUCCCUAUCUACCGUGGGUGUUUGAGACUUGAAGGAAGCUGCUCCUAGUACGAGAGGACCGGAGUGGACGUACCUCUGGUGUUCCGGUUGUUACGCCAGUAGCAUUGCCGGGUAGCUAUGUACGGAAGGGAUAACUGCUGAAAGCAUCUAAGCGGGAAGCCCCUCCUGAAAUGAGGUCUCACCGGGAAUUCAAUUCCCCUGAAGGGCCCUGGAAGACGACCAGGUUGAUAGGCUGGGUGUGGAAGUCCAGUAAUGGAUGAAGCUAACCAGUACUAAUUGCCCGUGAGGCUUGACCAU